rnacentral:rRNA from 1 species
UAACGCGUGGGUAACCUGCCUCAUACAGGGGGAUAACAGUUAGAAAUGACUGCUAAUACCGCAUAAGCGCACGGGACUGCAUGGUCCAGUGUGAAAAACCGAGGUGGUAUGAGAUGGACCCGCGUCUGAUUAGCUGGUUGGCGGGGUAACGGCCCACCAAGGCGACGAUCAGUAGCCGACCUGAGAGGGUGGCCGGCCACAUUGGGACUGAGACACGGCCCAAACUCCUACGGGAGGCAGCAGUGGGGAAUAUUGCACAAUGGGGGAAACCCUGAUGCAGCAACGCCGCGUGAGUGAAGAAGUAUUUCGGUAUGUAAAGCUCUAUCAGCAGGGAAGAGAAUGACGGUACCUGACUAGGAAGCCCCGGCUAACUACGUGCCAGCAGCCGCGGUAAUACGUAGGGGGCGAGCGUUAUCCGGAUUUACUGGGUGUAAAGGGAGCGUAGACGGUUCUGCAAGUCUGAAGUGAAAGCCCGUGGCUUAACCGCGGAACGGCUUUGGAAACUGUGGAACUGGAGUGCUGGAGAGGCAAGCGGAAUUCCUAGUGUAGCGGUGAAAUGCGUAGAUAUUAGGAGGAACACCAGUGGCGAAGGCGGCUUGCUGGACAGUAACUGACGUUGAGGCUCGAAAGCGUGGGGAGCAAACAGGAUUAGAUACCCUGGUAGUCCACGCGGUAAACGAUGAAUGCUAGGUGU